CCCCAUGUGGGAUUAUGGUGAAAUCAGC
rnacentral:piRNA from 1 species